CCUACGGGUGGCAGCAGUGAGGAAUAUUGGUCAAUGGACGAGAGUCUGAACCAGCCAAGUAGCAUGAAGGAUGACUGCCCUAUGGGUUGUAAACUUCUUUUAUAUGGGAAUAAAACGUUCCACGUGUGGGAUUUUGUAUGUACCAUAUGAAUAAGGAUCGGCUAACUCCGUGCCAGCAGCCGCGGUAAUACGGAGGAUCCGAGCGUUAUCCGGAUUUAUUGGGUUUAAAGGGAGCGUAGGUGGAUUGUUAAGUCAGUUGUGAAAGUUUGCGGCUCAACCGUAAAAUUGCAGUUGAAACUGGCAGUCUUGAGUACAGUAGAGGUGGGCGGAAUUCGUGGUGUAGCGGUGAAAUGCUUAGAUAUCACGAAGAACUCCGAUUGCGAAGGCAGUUCACUGGACUGCAACUGACACUGAGGCUCGAAAGUGUGGGUAUCAAACAGGAUUAGAUACCCCUGUAGUC
rnacentral:rRNA from 1 species